GACUUAAGCAUAUCAAUAAGCGGAGGAAAAGAAACCAACAGGGAUUGCCCCAGUAACGGCGAGUGAAGCGGCAACAGCUCAGAUUUGAAAUCUGGCCCCUCCGGGGUCCGAGUUGUAAUCUGUAGAGGAUGCUUUUGGCGACGCGCCUUCCGAGUCCCCUGGAACGGGGCGCCAGAGAGGGUGAGAGCCCCGUAUGGUCGGACGCCGAACCUUUGUAAAGCUCCUUCGACGAGUCGAGUAGUUUGGGAAUGCUGCUCAAAAUGGGAGGUAAAUUUCUUCUAAAGCUAAAUACCGGCCAGAGACCGAUAGCGCACAAGUAGAGUGAUCGAAAGAUGAAAAGCACUUUGAAAAGAGGGUUAAAUAGCACGUGAAAUUGCUGAAAGGGAAGCGCUUGUGACCAGACUUGCGCCCGGUUGAUCAUCCAGCGUUCUCGCUGGUGCACUCUGCCGGGCUCAGGCCAGCAUCGGCUCCCCCAGGGGGAUAAAGGUCGCGGGAACGUAGCUCUCUCCGGGGAGUGUUAUAGCCCGUGGCGGAAUACCCUUAGGGGGGGUCGAGGCCCGCGUUCGCAAGGAUGCUGGCGUAAUGGUCACCAGCGACCCGUCUUGAAACACGGACCAAGGAGUCAAGCAUUAGGGCGAGUCUUUGGGUGUAAAACCCGCAGGCGCAAUGAAAGUGAACGGAGGUGAGAGCUUCGGCGCAUCAUCGACCGAUCCUGAUGUUCUCGGAUGGAUUUGAGUAAGAGCCUUACCGCUUGGACCCGAAAGAUGGUGAACUAUGCCUGAAUAGGGUGAAGCCAGAGGAAACUCUGGUGGAGGCUCGCAGCGGUUCUGACGUGCAAAUCGAUCGUCAAAUUUGGGCAUGGGGGCGAAAGACUAAUCGAACCAUCUAG
rnacentral:rRNA from 1 species